ACGAACGCUGGCGGCGUGCUUAACACAUGCAAGUCGAACGGUGAACGAGGGAGCUUGCUCCCUCCGGAUCAGUGGCGAACGGGUGAGUAACACGUGAGCAAUCUGCCCCGAACUCUGGGAUAAGCGUUGGAAACGACGUCUAAUACCGGAUACGACGCGGGAGGGCAUCCUCUCCGCGUGGAAAGAACUUCGGUUCGGGAUGAGCUCGCGGCCUAUCAGCUUGUUGGUGAGGUAACGGCUCACCAAGGCGACGACGGGUAGCCGGCCUGAGAGGGUGACCGGCCACACUGGGAUUGAGACACGGCCCAGACUCCUACGGGAGGCAGCAGUGGGGAAUAUUGCACAAUGGGCGCAAGCCUGAUGCAGCAACGCCGCGUGAGGGACAACGGCCUUCGGGUUGUAAACCUCUUUUAGCAGGGAAGAAGCGAAAGUGAGGGUACCUGCAGAAAAAGCACCGGCUAACUACGUG
rnacentral:rRNA from 1 species